GUGUGGGAUGUUUUGGAUGUGGUGAAUUAUGUAUGGAGAUUAUAAGUGAUCAAUAAGGGAUCGGUCACUCCUAAUAAAGGGAGCGAACAUCCUAUGUGAUCUCAUAGAUUGAUGAUUCAAAAAAUCUUUGGCCAAAGCAGGCUGAUAAUUAGAAAGAAGUUUCUAAUGUAUCAUCAACUGAAUCAUCACCUUCUGAUCAAGAUGCAUAUAGAUAACC
rnacentral:lncRNA from 1 species